rnacentral:lncRNA from 7 species
AGCGCCCAUUUGAAGAAAACCCCAGCCGCGCAGAUUUUCCUUUCGUCGGAGGCGACUCCCCAGGCGAUUUCCGCGCCUCCAAACCAGCGCAGCGCCAAUCCACCGCCGCUCCAAUCCAGCGCCCUUCCAUUCCACCUUACAUCCUUCAAUCUCCCAGCAUUGGAGCCCGAUUCAAGAAGUUCCAGAUCUAUUCAGUAUUUAAUCAUGAAGUCUGUUGAUCGCCGGCCCAGUAAUCCAAAAAGACUAACCAUUGAAUCCAGUCAGGAGGUUUUUUAAAUUGACAUUUCCAGACGUACAAGAUCCAGCAACUCAGCUCACCAAGAUGAUAUUCCCCAAAAUCAGGAGCAGAAUGAGCCACAGCCAGCCCCAAUCCAUCGUUUUCGCAGAAAGGCGUUAGCUUGUCAUUUAAAAAUAAAACCUCCUGCUCCAUCCACAGUGUCCGACGACGAUUUCAUGGAUGCUCCAUCGUUGAAGCGCCAAUUCAGAUCUGCCUCACCUUCUCCUUCAGAACAAAUCAGUGCAAAGAAGUUAAAAGUACCUUCUCCUCAAGUUCCUUGCGUGAAAAGAAGUCCAAAGUCUAAUAUCAUUACAAAAAAAACUCUCCUAAACAGAAGACUCCUAGAAAAUCACAGGUAACAUGUAUAUAUUUAUGUUAUUCAUGUGUUAAUUUUGGUGUCCAAUCAAGUUUGUAUUUUCCCCCACUUUAAAUUUAUGUAUAUUAUUAUCAACAAAUAUGAUGUUUACUUUUUUUAUUGUUGUAGACUAGUUAUUUACAAGCAUGUAAUAAUUAUCCCUUGUUUGUAAAUAUUGUAUCUUUAGUUCUAACUAUAUAUAUACUUUGUGUAUU